rnacentral:snRNA from 1 species
GUCCUCACCUCGGCAGCACGUAUAUUAAAAUUGGAACGAUACAGAGAUUAGCAAGGCCCCUGCACAAGGAUGACAUGCAAAUUCAUGAAGUAUUCCAUAUUUUU